AGUGAACGUUGGCGGCGUGGAUUAGGCAUGCAAGUCGAGCGAGAACCGUAGCAAUACGGGGACAGCGGCGAAAGGGACAGUAAUGUGUAGGUACCUACCUCCGGGUUCGGGAUAGCUGCGGGAAACUGCAGGUAAUACCGAAUAACGUCUCCGGACCAAAGGUGUGAUUCCACCUGGAGAGGGGCCUGCAUCCUAUUAGCGUGUUGGCGGGGUAACGGCACACCAAGGCGACGAUGGGUAGCGGGUGUGAGAGCACGACCCGCGUCAUUGGGACUGAGACACUGCCCAGACACCUACGGGUGGCUGCAGUCGUGAAUCUUCGGCAAUGGGCGCAAGCCUGACCGAGCGACGCCGCGUGCGGGAUGAAGGCCUUCGGGUUGUAAACCGCUGUCGUAGAGGAGGAAAUGCAGGGGGGUUCUCCCCUCUGUUUGACCUAUUCUAGGAGGAAGUACGGGCUAAGUUCGUGCCAGCCGCCGCGGUAA
rnacentral:rRNA from 1 species